GGGCGGUGGAACAUAACAUAACUCAGCGAUCAUUGACGCCUCUCUUGCGGCUCUUAAGGUCACAUGAUUGCUUCAGUGGCUUACCAAGCGAUGCUCGUAGUUUGUUGGGAACCCCCCGUAACACUGCUGUUGCAGCAGGUAUUGUAGAACUGUCUCCUGGAACCUACUGUCAUUAUGGGCUCAGGAAAGGGCUGGAACACAUUUUGGGCUCCGCAGAGCGUGUCCCAGAUGUAGUACCCCUUUGUUUUAAUAUAGAUGGGCUUCCUUUGGCAAAGAGUUCGAAGCAGCAGCUUUGGCCAGUGCAGUGCUGUGUCCGUGACCCAGACUUGGCUGAUGAUUUGCAGAAACCUUUUCUUGUAGGUGCAUUUGUGGGUCCUUCAAAGCCAGACUGUGCUAAUGACUUCUUGAAGCCAUUUGUUUCCGAGCUGAAGGAGCUGCUUCAGUCUGGUAUAUCGGUAUCUGGGAAAGUAGCAGAAAUCAAAGUCAAAAGCAUCAUCUGUGAUGCGCCGGCUCGGGCUUUUAUAUUCCAGAUUAAAGGACACAGCAGUUACUAUGGCUGUCCAAAAUGUACAGCAGAGGGUAGUUUUCGUGAGAAAGUAGUUUUCUCUGCAACAGUAGGUAGACCUAGAACUGAUGAGUCAUUUCGUCAGCAGGAGGACAUGGAUCACCAUCUGGGAGUAACAAUCUUGACUGAGCUACCAAUAGACUGCAUCAUAUGUGCACCACUUGAUCCAAUGCAUCUGUUGUAUCUUGGUGUUACGCGUAAACUUGUGAACCUGUGGUUUUCAGGACCUCUCAAUGUUCGAAUCGGGCCACUAAACCGAACAGAAAUAUCAAAACGCAGCUGUUCUCUUGAAAAGCAUGUUCCUCAGGAGUUUGCACGUAAACCGAGGUCAUUUGAUGAAAAAGACAGGUGGAAAGCUACUGAGUUCAGACAGCUCUUGCACUACACUGGACCUGUGGUACUUGAAGGCAACCUUUCUGCUGCUGCCUAUGCUAAUUUCUUGACACUGCAUGCAGCAUCAAACAUCCUUAGCACACCUUCUCUCUGUCAUGAGCAUGCAGACUAUGCACAAACUCUUUUGGAGCAUUUUGUCAAUGGCUUUGUGGAAUUGUAUGGUGCAUCAAAUGUCUCGUACAAUGUUCAAUGUCUUUUUCAUCUUGCUGCUGAUGCAAAGGUGCAUGGUACUUUAGAAUCUUUUUCAGCAUUUGCUUUCGAAAACAAUUUGCAGAUGAUCAAAAAGCUUCUUCGCCGGUCAGGCUGUCCCCUCCGCCAAUUGUACAACAGGUUAAAAGAAAGUGACAACCUACAGAGCGUUUCCUCAUCUUGCACUGUUGAUGGAUAUGAGCUGCUUGGUAGCCAUGAGGCAGCUGUUACCCCUACAGGCUGCAUGAACCCUCAAUAUAAGGCAGUCAAAUUUCGUUCCUUUACGGUUACCCUUAAAGCAGCCAACAACUGCUGCAAAGUUGGAAAUGCGAUUGCCCUUGUUGACGCUAUAGCACACAGUAGCCAAGAUGAGAGCCCUUGCAUUGUAGGAAGGCAGUUUCUAGAAGUGAAACCACUGUACACACAACCGUUAGACUCUACUAGGCUCAGUAUUGCUGUUGUUGACAGGCUUUCAAAUGUCCAGUGCUGGUCAAUCACUGACAUUCAGAACAAGCUGGUUAUCCUUCCUUACCAUGAUAAGUUUGUAGUUGUACCUUUACUUCAUACGAGCUAGCUCGAACACUGUUCCUAUGUUGAAAGAAUAAACGCUGUUUAUGUUCUAGCUCCUUGCUAAUUUGUUGAAUGCAGGCUACAGCAACAAAGAACUGGAAUUUGUGCUAACAUUCUGAUAGAAAAAUAUUUUAAUCUCUUCUAAAAAAUGCAUUCAGCAUAGCGAUGUUUCUUCAUGCUGCCACUUAAGUGAGUGUAUUAAUGCCGGCAGUGUUUGAUAGUAGCUGAAUAAAGAAAGGUGGUGCUGACAUUAUGUCAUCUUCUGCAACUAAAAUUUUCUGUACAACAUUUAUAAUUUUGUUACUUUUUUAUGAAGUUAGUUUGGCAGAUGAGAUGUCUAAUAUGUCCACUGAAAUCUGAGAACACUGUAAAACAAAGGCAGUUGUUCGCGUUAGCUUUUGCGAAAAAAUUUUAACCAGUCGAUGUUUAUGUUCAUUUUUUGUCUGAGAGUGGUCACAGACAAUUUUUUACAGAUGCGCUUUUCCAUUGUGGAAUUUACUGAAGAGAAAACAGUAGCUGUUGUGCCCAACAUAUGGAUUGUUGGUGGCAAAUGCUAUUGGCCACCAGGACCUGGCUGCAAAAUGGCAACUGUUCAAAAAGCAAAAGCCCCCAACAAAGACUGGAAAAUGUACAGCAUUGUGGUGAAAACUACCUACAGCACAUAUCAAGAGGCUCGUAGAAAUCUGGAUCAAGCUCAGUACUCUGAUGUUGAAUCUGAGCACCUUCAGAAACGGAAGGUGUCAAAGCCAAGUCGUUACAUCAGCGAUGAUGAAGUGCCUACUUUUCAUUCACGCCUCACUGGUUCAAAUGGACCGUCCACAGAUGAACGAAUGGAGAACACUUGUGCAAAUGCUUGAGACGAAUUUCACGAAGGAGGAAACCAGUUGCAAGAGGUUGGCAACCAAC